GGGCUCUGCGGGCAAAGAAGCGGGGCACGCGUUAGGGCGCGGCCACAGCACCCUCCCCCCCGGAUCCCCUGUCCUUCCCUGCUUAGGAAGAGGCAGCCAGAGCCAGUGCCCGCGGCCCUGGUACCCGUGGCCUUGGCGAACGACGCCCAGGUGCAACUCUGCGUGUGGGCACGCCGAGCCCCUCCCCCCUCCCCCCUCCCCCGGAUGCAGCCGCGCGUUCCAAACGAAUUAAAAAUCCUCUGCGGCGGCAUUUUCCAAAUGAUCAGCACAGUACUUUGAAACAGGAUUUGUGACCCAGAAUCGAGGCGGUCACAGUGAAAGGUCUCCGGGGCUUGGGGACGGCGGUGCUCUGGGGGAGUCCUUACCGCAGCUCUGAUCUCCCCACGUGCACUUAGGUCUGGCUCACUGUUGACAGAGGUCCCCCGCUAACCGCAGGCGCCACGGGGGGGGACCCCACACCCCACUGCCGCUCCCCCCUUUCCAGUGAUGGUCUCUGCCCCCCUUUCCGCAAUAUAUAUUCCUUGAAGAAAGGCAUCUUCACUUGAAUAUACUUGAGAGAAUGUCAAGAAGAAAAAAAAUGGGAAAACACCAUAAUAGUAACAUAGGACUUCUUCUGCAAACAAAGAAACAAAAAAAAAACCCCAAAACCCCAAACAAACAAACAAA